CAAGAGACUGUAUGAUGCGAGAGUUCGGAAUCAGACACUUGAGGAAGGUGAUCGGGUGCUGGUUCGGAAUCUGGGCCUCACAGGAAAGCACAAACUACAAGACAGAUGGAACUCACUACCUUACAUAGUGAUCGCCAAGUUACCCAAUCUCCCUGUGUAUCGUGUAAAACCAGAGAGAGGAACUGGUAUUGUGAGGACCGUGCAUAGGGAUCACCUGCUGCCCAUUGGUUACAUGGUCAGGAUGUCUGCUCCAUCAGAAAAGACAGCGAGACCAAGGACCAGGGCACAGCAAGUAAGGUGUGAAGAUGAAAGUCAGACACAAAAUUUGGAGCAUCUGAGUGAAGAUGAUUGGUCCUCAGAGUCUGAAGAACAGUGUGUCUACUAUGAACCUCCUUUAGCCUUUCGCGACAGUGUUGAACCUCGACGUGAGGAGGUUGUGAGCCUUCCUGACCAUAUGGAAAGUGAUCAUCCCAGUGUUCAUGAAUUGUCCGAGGUGGAGGAACAGGGGGAAGAACUCUCAGUAGUAGUAGAUCAGACGGAGGAAAGUUCACAGCAACACCAAGACUUGGUGGAGGCUGAAGAGCUGGAGGACAGAGAUGUUCCUACACCUAGUAUCUCAGUUGGGGGUGCUGACUCAACCUAUGACCUCCAAACAAAAAGGAGAGUGAGACCUGUUUUGCACCUCAGUUAUGAUGAACUUGGAAGGCCCACUGACAGACCUGUGACUAUUAGUUACCGAGGUAUGGUAAUUCAGAUUUGCUACGACCCUGACUCCUAAAUGUUAAUGCCCUAGCCAGUACUCUUUAGUGAGAUUUUAACUGGCCUAAUGAAAAUAGGUCUGAUGGGGACAUUCAGACAUUCAGAAGGGGGAGGGUGUAGCCCUGGCUAUAUAAGUAGCUCAUUAUUUCAAUUUGUUCAUUAAUAUUGAUAGUUAAUUGCAAAUGUUUAAUGUGUUCAAGAAUGUAUACCUGCAAAGUAUGUGAUGUGUGUCAGUUAAAUGCACAACCUUUUUAUUUGUAUUUUGAGGUUUAUGUCAUUAUUUUUGAUAUGGUAUUGAUAUGUACUACAGCUCCAGUGAACCCUGAAGUAGUCUCAGGUAGAGGGGUGGGAGUAAGUGGGGAGCCGUGUGCACUCUGCAGGAAGCGAGAGAGACGAGAGCUGAACAGUGUCGAGUGAACGCAGAGUUCUUAAAGGGCGACAGACGCAUUUUCGGGUUGACGGAUAGUUAACUGGAGUCGAGAACUGUUGUACCCUUCUGUGAGGUAAAUGUGGAUUUUGUCUGACACUUGUAUCCAAUGUUAUUGUGUAAAACGGAUUAGCGCUAACACAGCCGCUAGCACAACUGCUAACAUAGCUGCUAGCAUAGCCUAGCAUAUUCGCUAAGCUCUUGUUCUGCUCUGUUUUUAUUUAUUAAGCUAAUGCUAAGAUUGAAUGUUAUCACAUGUGAACUGGCAUUUAGUGGAGUUGUGUGAUUCAGUAGGAGGAGACGGACGUCUUGCUGGUGUGUCAGAGAGGUCCCUUCUGCUGGUGUGCUGAAGUUAUGUGUUCACGUGGGAGCACGUGGAAAGGACGACUGUGAGUGCUGCUGCCACUGCCUGCUGAAUGAAUGCAGUACCAUAAGUGAGUUCUGUUAUGCUGUUAUUGAGGCUCGAAGCAGCGUAGCAU
ensembl:lncRNA